CCAAAGCACCAGGAUUUUAUCUUUCUGUACAAAUCUUUAAACUUUACACUAAGAACUAUUGUGCAGAAAUGUUUGUAGAAGUUUUCUAACUUGGCUUGGACUCUUCAGAUCCUGUGCAGGAAGCAUGGAGUUCCUUGCCAGGGAAUUUCCCGUGGGGCACUUAACCUCAUCUACUCCAUUUUGUAUUCCUCCUAUUCUAUCCUUGACUCCUAGAGAAACACCAAAUGGGCACUUUCCAAGUUACCAGACCUUUGAUUUUUAUCAUAAUCUUUUUGUCUUCUGAAAGAGUAGUUGCGAUUGUUAAGAUACAAAUAAUAGUCAAGGAUAAAAGGGGAAAAAAACUAAAAAUGAAUUUAAACAAGAAUUUUGUUCUAAAAUUAUUAAACUAUGAGCUUUUUUUCAUUAUCCAUACUUUAAGAAACUGAUUUUAAUGAUGUAUCAGAAAACUCAUUCAAGUCCACAAUAGGAGCCAAUUUGCUUGGAUUUCAAAUUUUUUUGCUGCCAUCAGAUGUUGAGAUGGGUCUGUUGUCUGAAAUAUCUUGACAACUUUUGUUUGUCAUUCUACAGGUGCUUUGAUGCUACCGCUGCUGUUGACACAAUACCAGAAAUGGAACCAUCUCAUCAUAUCUGGUGCUUUGGAACAACAGUAAUCGACCCUAUAAAGCAAGCUGCAAAACUCACAUCUAGUAGGGGGCCGCCCAACUCUCCAAAAUGAAUCAUUUUAUUUCAUUCAAUGGUAGCAUAUUCACAGCUGGACAUCACCAAUUUCCCUACACUCUACCAUGAAGCUAAGAGUGUUUUUAGAAAAAAAAUUGACAGAUUUUUCUUUCUGUCCAGAAAUAAACAAAUUGGCUUGCAACUGACUUCAAAGGAGUCAUGUUUUCUGACUGUGCGGAAAUCAUGUUGUACACUUCACACUUCACAGACUUAUUCAAAAAGGAAUAUGGAAUGAUCUGAUUCCAAAAUUUCAGCUCAACCCAUUUCAGUCUUGAAUUUCCAAUUCCAUUGUUCAAGGGGACAUGCAACAGUUACUAUAAAAUCAGUAUUUAAGAAUACAGUGAAAUAUAUAAAAACAGAAUGAAAAUAUGAGCUGAUAUUGGCACAAAAAAUUUAAACCCACACAUAGUUUUUUUCAUGGUAGCAUUUUCAUACAUUUUUUUUCAUCAUGAAGUCACAGAAAGUUCAUGAAAGCUCAUAUUCUAAAUCUCAUCAAAAUUUGAUAAAGAUGCAUACCAUAAAAUCCUUUGAAUGGAUUUAAAAUCGUGUUCAUACCAAAUCACAUUUUAAUUCUAUUUUUUUUGAGUUUUUUAAAGAUUUAUUUAUUUACUUGAAAGUCAGAGUUACACAGAGAGAGGAGAGGCAGAGAGAGGUCUUCCAUCUGGUGGUUCGCUCCCCAAUUGGCUGCAAUGGCCGGAGCUGUGCUGAUCUGAAGCCAGGAGCUUUUCCUGUGUCUCCCACACAGGUGCAGGGCCCAAGCACUUGGGCCAUCUUCUACUGCUUUCCCAGGCCAUGGUGGAGAGCUGGAUCAAAAGUGGAGCAGCCAGGUCUUGAACUGGUGCCCAUUUGGGAUGCUGGCACUUCAGGCCAGGGCGUUAACCCAUUGGAUCACAGUGCCAGUCCCUAUGUUUUUUGAGUUUUAUGUUCUCAUUUUUCAUUUUGAGGGGCUUUUGUUCUUUUUAUAUCUUUUUAUUUUUUGUUUUGUAAUUAUUCAUUUUUUUCCUAUUUUGACAUUUAUGUUUUUAUACCAUUUAUGAAAUGGUUGAUGUCUCCUGGACAAAUAACUAUUUUCAAUAUUCUGGAUAUCCUGAAGAUGAUGUUCAUUAUACCAUAUAUUACUUUUAUAAGAAUCUUCAGAAAAUCAUACAUUAAUAAUGAAAUAUUAUAACUUGAAGACAUAAAGAACAUAAGUGAUUCUCAGUUCCCACCCACUUUUAAAAGAGAGUAAGCUCAGUUACCUGACUGUAGAGUGCCAUGAUCACACUCCACUAAUUUGUUAUGUAGGAAAAUUUGGCAUUAUACUGUGUCCAGAGCAAAACGUGAAUCAUAGCAUCUUUCCAUAUAUGUCUUCUCGAUUUUAAUUCCUAUCUUAUUUUCAUCAAUGCGAAGUCAUUUAGGAAAAAUUCAGUAAUACAGUCCUUCAAUGAUGCCCAUAAACCUUCAAUAUCCAAAUCACAUUCCAGGACUCAAUGGGAAUUUUCAGAACAUCUGAGCUCCAUCAACAAUUUUGUAAGCAAAAUCAUCUGAAAUAUUCUUAAGUCACCAUAAAUUCUCUGAUUGAUUAGUGCAUCCAAGGGUGGGAAUGGACCUAGUAAAGGUGGUAAGAUGGCUUUGGGGUUGAUGCUUUUUAAAAUGAUUGGCUAAAGUAUAGGGUCUGAGCCGCUUGGGUGUAGGUGGCAAACCGCAGGGUUUCAGGAUGUCAUCAAGCACCUUAACUGCCUGAAAAGACACCUGGAACUUUAGGCAUUUCCCUGCUAUCUGCUGAUUGGCUGUUGCUAGGGGAGUUUAUCGCAGGGGAAGUUUAUUCUCUUUUCAGGAGCUUUUGGCUUAGGGUUCAGGCCCGAGUUACGAGAUGGAGGCCUACUCUAAACUAGCUGCACCUUGAUCCAGGCUCAGGUCUCUCAUUGGAAAUCUCUAUUGUUUUAAACAUAUUUUACUGAUGGCCCAUAUUAGUGAAUCUGUAAAUCCAGUGAAUGAUGUAAAAUCUUGUUCUCACACGCAGAGCACAUUACUUUGCUUAGUUUAUAGAAGACAUACCCAGUGAUCUGUGCACUUCUAUCUUUGUUCACCUAAAGAAUUACGCUGUGACUUCUUGGCUUCGAUAGUCAUUUGUACAUGAUUAAGGCUUUGAGGGAGGCCCAGCUCAGUUGGGUCAUUCUUCUGGUCUCACUGGGUCACUCGGGGGCCAGAAGACAACUGUGUAUUUCUCAGCUUCCUUUGAUUGCUACAUAGCCAUACACCAGGGGGGAGAUUGGAAAUCUUUUCUCACACAAAUUUCAUAAAGUUUUCCUAUAUUGCAGCUCCAUCUGAUUAUUCCCUAUUACAGAUAGACACUUGGACUCACUAGACCUUGGCUCCUAUAUUUUUUCCACUACCAGGAAUUACACUGGAGCUUUCAGUAUUCUCUGGAAAAUUUUAAAUUCUGUGGUAAAUGAUCAUGUUUUGUGGUAGUUCUAUUCUGCUUAAUGCCCACUAAAAUGUACAGGCAGCUCUUCAUAUCCUGUGGUUUCAGCCAAAUCCAGAAAGAGAAUAUAAGAUGCAAAGUUUCUCAGUUAUCAUUAUUCUCUGAAGUAUAAGUUCCAUUCCUUACAGAACAGUUAAUUUGUAGGAGGUAGUGUAGGAGAUGUAGAGGUCACUUAAAAGGAUAUGUGAGGGUGGCAUAAAUUAUAUGCAAAUACAGUUCUACUUGAUAUUGGGGUAGGAGCAUCUGUGGAUUUUGUUAUCUUUUGGGAUCAUGGAAUCAAUUCCCCACAGAUGCUGAGGGACAGCUAUCUAUGGGGGAAUGAAGAUGUGCAUAGUUCUUGGAAUAAAAGGAUUUCAUAUGUGUUGGUAAUAUCUUUACAUUUGAAAGUUGGAGAGAUAAGAGAGCACAUAUGGGAUUUCAGAGGGUAGCAGUAAGACAUCCAUUUGAUGCAUGAUGUUUUAGAUUAAUUGCAGCAUUAUUUUGAAGUUCUGAAAUACAUGAAGCAUUUCCAUUCAUGAUGCUAAAGUGGAGGAUACUAAUGGGAUCUCUUCUCAUUAGAGAUGACUGCAUGGUUGUGUGAAAAAUCUGAGACGACAACAAUUGCAGGAUAAAAGGGACAAAAAUAUAUGCCUUCACAAUGCAUCUAGGUUUUGAAUCAGGAAAGAAAUACCCUAAAGUCAAUCCUUCCAGUUGCAAAAGAAGGGACAGAAAAGGAGGUAAAGAAAAUCUGAGAUUCAAGGAAUUUGUCAAUUGCAACUCAUGGGCACGAUUCUUGCUAUAGGGAAACAGUUAAUAGUUUUCUCUCAGCACUCACACAGUAGAGACUUGAGGAAAGUAACUUACAUCUUCAUUUUGGAGAAAGAUCCUAGGGCCUGAACAACUGUAAAAGAGCACAACUCUUGUACUGACUUAUAAUGACUAGAAGGCAAUGAGUUUUUCAGUUUAUCAUCUUUAUGGUAGCUGUGAGAAAGAUAGUAUAAUCAGCAGUCUAUGCUUAGUGAUGUGAUAAGAUUAAACAUUUCCAUCAGCAAAAUAAAGGCCCUUGGGAUGAAUUAUGCUAUUCCGGAAAGAAAACACACCCAUGCUACCAGCACCGAAAUUCUGAAUCCAUGUAUACAAGGUUUACUCAUGAACAUAUAUCUUUAAAAAAAAAAAAAACUGUGCAUGGAUUUCAAAAUUAUUUGCCCCAAGGAAUUCAUUUCCAUGAGCUUUUUGAAGUACCCUUGUAUUUACACAAGCACAUUCAUUCACUUCCUGCUCCACACAAGCACCGUGUUAGAAUUUGGGGAAUGGAUGAUAUGUUAGUGAAAAAACAACGUCUUUACAGAGCAGUGGACAAUGUCUUGGAUAUUUUUCUUCAGCUCCUUCCAUGCUAGGCAAAUGAGCCAGUAUUCUGAAGAUCUGUAGUAGAUAGUGACCCUCUUUUCUAAUUUUUGUUUUGUGUUUUACUUGUCUGCAGCCCGAGUGAUGGUAGGAAGAAAUUAGCAGAGACUGAAAUUGGGUUCAACUUGAUGGGCAUCUGCACCCCAUGUCUGUGCUGAACAGAGAGAACACCUUGCCUAGAGUGGUCACGCCCCCGGCACUGGGAGGACACUGCCACAAUUUUUAAUGGAGCCUGGACUGUGUUCUCCAUGGGGAUGCCCCUGCAACGUUGACCAAGGCUGCUGAGACUGCCAACAAGGUGAGGGCCUCCGGUCAGCGGUGGCGGCAGGUUGGGGCUGCCGGGAGGCCAGCCUGUCAUGGGUGGGCGUGGGGGUGUCUUGGAGAGGGACAGAUGAGGGGCUUGGAUUUGCCCUGAGGGGUGUGAUGGGGCUGCCAAAGAGUUAUGAGUAAACUGUAUGGGUACUGUGAUUUCAGUUAGCACAGCUGCUUGAUUGUGGAGUUGUCAGGUGACAGUUUCUAUGCAAGGUGCUGGGCUCUGGAUUCCAGGAUAUGGUUUUUCUCUGGUCACUAAGAGUGUAUGGAGUGUAUGCAGUGGAGGGUGGCCCAAGUGCUUGGGCUCCUGCACCCGCAUGGGAGACCAGGAGGAAGCACCUGGCUCCUGGCUUCGGAUCGGCAUAGCACCGGCCGUAGUGGCCAUUUGGGGAGUGAACCAAUGGAAGGAAGACCUUUCUCUCUGUCUCUCUCUGUCUAUAACACCACCUGUCAAAUAAAUUUAAAAAAAAAAAGAACAAUGAUUUAGUGUCUACUGACUCCCACCAUUUUGAGCAUCUUUAUGCCUUGUGCCAUAGGUUUCCAUAGGCCCAUCAGCAGGGAGCAGGGUUGGAAGUGGAACAGCUGGGACUCAAGCUGGUGCCCAUAUGGGAUGCCAGCAUCACAGGUGGCAGCUUUAUCCAUGUGUCACAAUGCCAGUCCUAAUUACUGAUGUUAUCAAUGUAUGUUUUUUUAAAAGAUUUAUUAUUUAUUUGAAAGGCAGAGUUACAGAGAGGCAGAGGCAGAGAGAGACAGACAGACAGACAGACUGACAGAGGUAUAGAGAGAUCUUCUAUCCUCUGGUUCACUCCCCAGAUGGCCGCAAUGGCCAGAGCUGCACCGAUCUGAAGCCAGGAGCUUCUUCUGGGUCUCCCAUGCUGGUGCAGGGGACCAAGGACUUGGGCCAUCUUCUACUGCUUUCCUAGGCCAAAGCGGAGCCAGAUCAGAAGUGAACGAGCACCCAUAUGGGAUGCCAGCACUGCAGGUGGAGGCUUUAGCCGCUGCACCACAGCGCUGGCCCCAUCAAUGUUGAAUUGACUUUUAGGCAUUAGCAGGUGGGCAGAUCAUAAAGAAUGCUGAUUUGAUGAUUUUCCUUUGAGGAAUAGGAAGUGUAAAAUCUUUGGAUGUGGGGAAAGUGUCUCCCUUUACAUCCAUACCUACCUGUACUUAGUAUAUACCAAGUUGAUCUCCUGUAUAUAAAGAUAAUGGAAAAUGAAUCUUGAUGAAGAAUGGGAUGGGAGAGGGAGUGGGAGAUGGGGUGGUUGUGGGUGGGAGGGAGGUUGUGAGGGGAGGGUCCGCUGUAAUCCAGAAGUUGUACUUUCAAAAUUUAGUUAUUAAAUAAAAGUUUAAAAAAAUGAAAAAUAACACUUGCUGUGAUACAUAAAGAGAGCAAGAAUACUCAAGUAGACCUGUGAACUACAGUGUGUUUGCUAAUCUUGAUUGAUGAGGGAAUGUGCACUACUAUUCUGUAGAUGAAAAUCAGGUAAGUCAGUGAUACUGCUUAUAUCAUCUCUCAAUAGUCCAUUAAAAUAUUACACAGUAAAGCAGAGCCACGCAGCUUUAUUGUGUAAGGACUUGAUAUUUUAGAUACAUUCCAGCUGUUCACGAUUUGCUUGAUGGUAGCUGUAGCCAUGGAGACAACUGUAGAGAUUACCAUGCUAAUCAGAUGAGUGCUGAAUCUUUUUAAAAUUCACUAUCAGUUUGUAUACAUCAAAGCUUAUCUCUAAAAUUAUGACCUUAGAUGAGCUAAAAGCAGAGCCCAUCUGCAGGUGAUUUUACUAAUUGGUUUCCGGAUCUUGUUAGCAAAUGCUAGAUUUAAGAAUUUUAAAUGAGCUGGCUGUUUUGACAUUGCACACAAAUUGGAAAAACAAUAAUAUUGAAUAUGCUAGUCCAGAAAAUUGGCAUUGGAAGAAUCUUUAAGUAUCUAAACUUCUUGGUUCCCACAUUAGAAGGCAGAAACUUUCAGAGACUUGUAGCUCAGAGAGACUUCUAGCUGAGUCCAAAUCAGAAUCUCAGGUUCGCUGGGCCUCAUAACAUUUUGUUGCUCAAGUCCACACAGACGCACUUUUAUGUCUGUGGUACAUGCCCAUUUUCUUCAAAUCAGCGACAACUUUUAAAGGUAUGUCAGGGAUAAAAUGAUUGCCACAAGUAAACUCGAGUUCUGAACCGAUGUUUGAUUUUCUUGAAACUCAGGUGGUCCUCUGUGCUGCUUUUUCACAUUCGUCUUUAUUAUUUUAUCUUUCAAGGUGCAAUUGUUUUGAUGUGAAACUUUGCCUAAUAAAUAUAAUCUAUAUCACCAAAAUUCUGAGCAAAAGGAAUAACAAAACAUGACAGUUUCUGGGCUGUGCCCCAUUCCCAUUCAUUGGAGCACUUUCCAUUGCUGUGGAGAUGAAGAACAUACACUGUUUUGUGAGAAAGACGUCUGACAGGGUGGGUCGUGUCCUCACAGAUAGCAGCUGCUGUCACAUGCAGUUUUUCCCAUGGUGAGACUGUUUUUUCUUGUUUUAUUUUCAUUGUGCUUUAAACAUGAUUUCAGAUUAUAAAUAUGUCUUACUUAGAUCAUUUCCUUA